CAUGCGUUAAGUAUUGAAGCCUAAAAAAAUUAUAAGCCUCAAAAACUUUCUCAACCCCGCCAUACUCGAAGCCACGCACGACGCACCAUUACCAAAACCCCAAACCAAUAAAACCCCACUCCCCAUAAUCCGAAUUCUCCCAACUGCACCUACAUCCCCUCAAUUCUCAAUUCAAUUCGCAAGUUAAUUUGCAAUUUUAAAACUGGAAUUCAUCAUUCGCAGUUGCUCAUUUCCAUUAACGGAUUCAAUUCACCACACGCGGCUCAAUCAAAUCCAUCACCGACAACCACUCGAUUUUCUCGUUAUUCCUCUUGCUUAAUCAUCGGCGGCCGCCAUUCCCAUCGCCGAACCGUUUUCGCGCCUCCCUCUCUUAGGAACUAAAUUUGGCAGCAAAUCAGCACCUACGGGUAAUGGGUUAUUGCCUGGCCAAUCCAUAUAUCUGGGCCCAAGAUCAGAUUCAUUAUUGUAAUCGAGAGGAGAAGGAGACGAAGAACUAGUGACAGUGCACAAGUCAUAAGCAAAUGAAUUCAUCUUAUUGAAAUCA